UCCGAGUUGACCCCGGCAGUCUCCCAUGAGUCCCCGGCAUUACCCGCUGGCAACAUGGAACGAGGGUUGCGCUCGUUGCGGGACUUAACCCAACAUCUCACGACACGAGCUGACGACAACCAUGCACCACCUGUGCACGGCCCUUACGGACCCCGCAUCUCUGCGGGAUUUCCGUGCAUGUCAAGCCUAGGUAAGGUUCUUCGCGUUGCAUCGAAUUAAGCAACAUGCUCCGCUGCUUGUGCGGGCCCCCGUCAAUUCCUUUGAGUUUUAGCCUUGCGGCCGUACUCCCCAGGCGGGGCACUUACUGCGUUAGCGACGGCACUCAGAGGGUCGCUCCCCCAAGCACCUAGUGCCCAUCGUUUACGGCGUGGACUAC
rnacentral:misc_RNA from 1 species